CAGACAAGUUUUGAGAACCAGCCUUGGAGGCCUUUUAAUGCAGAAUGGAAGGCAUCACAUGCUAACCCUAUCAAAAGAUGCAUUGUACUCCACAGAGAUGGUUGCAGAUGCUAUGAGAUUAUUAUCCAAAGCCUUGGAAAUCUCCCUGGAUUCACAUCCUGUCUGUGCAUUGUGUUUAUUAGAGGAUGUGAUAAACGCCGUCACUGUGUUACACAAGACCAUACAAUAGUAAUUGGAGCUGGCUGGGAAGUGAAAUCUUUAUUCUACAGGAAAUUCCAGCUUGUCAAUAUUUUGUUUCACCGAGUGCUGGAACAAAACAUGUUGGCUCUGCAUUCUGCAGCCUUUCUGGCAAAAAUGGAACAAUCUAUUUCUUUGCCAGCUGACAAGUCUGGGAAGCCGAGAAACCAACUGAGCAGUAGGCCUGAUGCCAGGGAGCUGUAUAGCCAGUCAGCUGAACUACGUUGCUGCCUAUACUUCCUCUUGAAUGCCUAGAGAUGUCAUAUACCAUCCUUACCACAACUGUGGUAACUCCAGGGAAUAACAAAUUCCCUUGUAAAUGUUCAGUGGUAAUUAAAUUUUCUGCAACUUUGUCUAUGUAAGUAGUCUCUGAUAUUCCUAUUGUGAAAUUAGAGGAAAACCAGAUGCUUUGCUGAGACGCUUUUCAAAUCCUGUGCCUUCCACACGUAAACAAAUGUGACUUAUUUUCUCUCUUGAAUUCAACUACUGUGGAGAUGCUACAGCAUCUGGAUUCCAAAUUAAUUCAAUGUCAGUUUUCAGUGACCUUUAUAUUUUCUAAGAAUGGUCCAGUUUAUUACUGGUUUUACAGAGUUUAUUCUUGAACUGGAAAUAAUUUUCAUAGUAUUUUCCCACAAUGAAAAUGGUUCAGUAUAAUGUUUAUUAUGUGUUUUCUCCUUAAUUUCUCCUGGAGCUGUUACACAGUUUGCUGUGUGCUGCUGCAACGUAUCCUGAAAUGUGCUCUUCAUCUUAGAUGAAAUAACUCUAGCAUAUGUUUAAGGUUUAAGUCAGUCUAAAUAUGACCAUUUGGCUUGUCUUGUUUAUAUUCCACACAUGAAUAAGUGCUGCUGGGUGUCAUUUAAGUCCUUCUGAUUCUCAAUUUCCUCCGUGUUGCCACAUACUCAGAGAUUAUUUAAUUUCCCCUCUGAUUCAGUCUAUAAUAGAAAUUCUCUUUAAACAUGAGUGCACUUUAAUUAUAGUAUUAUUGUCUUUUUCCAUCAAAAUAUUGACUGGAAACUACCAAGUCCUUGCAUGUCUUGGAUGGACCUUUCAGCAAAAUAGGAGCAUUAAUAACUUCUCUUCUCCCAAACUUUGUUUUCAGUUCUCUCUCCCUCAAAAAAAAAGAAAAAAAGAAAAAAAGGAAAAACUGGGAGUGACAAGGAAACCAUCACUCAAGACAACCUAGAAGUGCCUCAUUCCUCCAUCCACAUGGUUGUAUAACAUUGCUGUAUACAGAGGAUCCUGAAAACCUCAUGUCAGAGAGAGGGAAUUUUUAUCAUGUGGGGGUUGCCAUUGUGAAAAAGUCACUGUACAAUCCUUUCCAAGGACUUCUUUGUAAAUUGCUGUUUGAAGACACAAAAUCUUUGCCAAAAUGAAGCACAGAACAGAAAUAUCUGAAAGAAAUGCUGUGAGUUCUUCCCUACCACUGUAAGAUUUCUGAGUAGCUUUUUCUGAGCUAUCUUCACUGAAGGCAAUUUUAUUUUUCCAAUUAAAAUUUUCUAGGUACAUUUCUCAGCUCAGAAAUGUUACAUUUACACGGCCUACUGAGAACCAGAUAAAUUUAAGUUUUAAACUGCUUUUAAAUUGAAGCUUACUUGAUUGUGACAGUAAAUUGAGUUUUUCAGGAGUCAAAAUGUAGCUUCAAAUUAUACAUCCUGGUAACAUUGUAGUUUACUGGGUAUUUUGGACCUACUACCAUUGAACCAUAGUCCAUGGUCCAACCUUUGCACAAUGUACCAUUGAAGUAUUAGUUAUUCUUCUAAUUAAGGAAUUUAAUUAACUUUGUUGAAAGUAUCUUCUUUGUGGCCACUUAUGCUUUAAAGCUGUGGAUGUAUAUAUAUAUACAUAUAUAUAUAUAUAUAUAUAUAUAUAAAAACAUAAUAUAAAUAUAUAUUUUUGUAUAUAAAAUCAAAAUCAUAAUAUAUAUAUAUGUAU
rnacentral:lncRNA from 1 species